CUUGCAAUUCUAGCGCAGCAUCCUGAGGGGGAGGUGGCACUUCUCCCAGGCAGGGUGCCAAGGGGGGCAGGAUGUCCGAUCUGUCAACGUUUCUUAUCAUUCGUGGCUCACAAUGCACCCGGGCACCCGACAAGGAGAAGUGAAGUCUGAUAAAAAGGUGCAGUGUGUAAUUCCAUAUGUGGCGCAGAUGAUCUCCAAAUCAGCUGUGUGCGGGUAUUGUCGUGACGGAUUAGCUGCCGCUUCACUGGCUGGGGUGGAAUAUCUGUCGGGCCUGACCUUGAAACGUGCUUGGUGUGAAUGAGACGUGCAGUUAUGUUAUUGAAUAUAACAACAGAACAGUGGCACAGCACCAGCAUCAACCAGCUUCAGCAUCUGUAGUAGAGAAUCUGCAUACAGUAUAUACAUAUGAUGACGCUGUUGAUCUGUCCUCCGAUGACAGGUUUGCUGUCACUAGGCCCAACCUGAGGACAGCUCAUCCUGAGUGAAGGUCAGUAAAACUAUAACUAACCAUUUUUCACCUUCAGGAGUCUUCAAGUCUUUUGCUUCAGAAUGAACAAUAGCUACUGUGGCACGGACGGGCACUUCAGACAAAGCCACGGGAAGAGGAGCAGGAGUAUAUUAAUGAAACACCAGUGGGAGCAGCGCUGAUGAGAGAUCGUUGGUCUUGCCCAUGACGUCAUAGAAGGAAGCGGUUGGCCGCCGCCUCCUCUAGUCAACUCAAGCAUGAACAACACUCUGCUUGGCUCCAGAGGGAUAUUGCACAAAAACAGAUCAAGAUUUCCAGGACAAGUGGCUUGGCCUAGUUUACUAAACUUCACCCUGUGUUAUUCCUUUGGACGAUUGCCAAGCCAGGAUAAAAACACGAAACUACUAUUACACAGACAAGCACGAUACGGAAAGGAAAUGCCUAAAACCAAAGGCAGAUAAGAAGUUUGAUCAUUUCAAAGGAGAAUGAAGGAGUCAACCAUAACCAUCUGCUGGCCUGGAGGAGCAAUCGGAUGCUGGCAACCUGAUCAGGUAACAACACAAUCACACUGUCAACGCGCUUGAACCCUCCGAUUUGCCUAGAACUUCUAUAACGUACUUUCAGCCUCCUGUGGCACCUGUGAGUAUUUGGAGAGCGAGAUGUCCAGAGAAUAAGAAAGGACUUUGGUGUUAGCAGCUGCUUGGAUCUGUGAACCAUAAAGGAAAAGAUUAGGCUUUUGUGGUAAUAUGGAAUCACGUUGCAUCACGAAGGAGGAUGGUGACAAGGGUAAUGACACUAUACACAUACUGUAAGAAAAAGCAGUUGUUUAAG
rnacentral:lncRNA from 1 species